CCUACGGGAGACAGCAGUGGGGAAUAUUGCACAAUGGGGGAAACCCUGAUGCAGCGACGCCGCGUGAGUGAAGAAGUAUUUCGGUAUGUAAAGCUCUAUCAACAGGGACGUUAAUGACGGUACCUGACUAAGAAGCCACGGCUAACUACGUGCCAGAAGCCGCGGUACUACGUCGGGGGCCAGCGUUAUCCGGAUUUACUGGGUUUAAAGGGAGCGUAGGUGGCAGGGCAAGUCAGAUGUGAAAACCCGGGGCUCAACCCCGGGAGUGCAUUUGCAACUGGCCAGCUUGAGUGCAGGAUAGGUAAGCGGAAUUCCUAGUGUAGCGGUGAAAUGCAUAGAUAUUAGGAAGAACACCAGUUGCGAAGGCGGCUUACUGCACUGUAACUGACACUGAGGCUCGAAAGCGUGGGUAGCAAACAGGAUUAGAUACCCGAGUAGUC
rnacentral:rRNA from 1 species